rnacentral:tRNA from 1 species
GCCCUGGUGGCACAAUGGUUAAGCAUUUGGCCACUAACCAAAAGGUUGGUGGUUCAAGCCCACCCAGUGGCU